rnacentral:rRNA from 1 species
AUCUAUGACCAUAACACUCUAAACACAGCUGAUCUCAUUUGAUCUUCAGUAGCUGAGCAGGGUCAGGGAUGGUUAGUGCUUGGAUGGGAGAAAAACCAUCACCUAAGAAG